AUAAAAGUGACAGAUCUCUCAAGGAACUUCAGUGCAAGAAUGAGAUAAGCAAACUAAUGUUUACAAUAUUCUAUGGAUGAAGAAUGUUCCUAAGAGCAACAGGGCUCACACGUCGUUCCCGAGAUGACACAAGAGGCCGUGACAGGACACUUUUUAUCAGCUCAAAGAAGAGGAGGCAUUUAUCAUGACAGACUAAUUGCUCACGUUGAGAAAAGAAAUAAGAGAAAAAGAAACUUAUGGUUAGUUCCAGAUUCCUGGCCCACAGCUGCGUUUUGAAUUGCACCAUAGAUUUGAUGUCUCAUCAUCUGAUGACCUGGUCUCCUGUGCCUCCUCUUCAGCCUCAGGAAUUCUUGACCAUUCUUGCCCAUGUCUAAAAGGACAUAGCCAUUACUUUAUGGGGGCACUAUUCUGCUUUUAGUUUCAGAAACUUUUUAAAGGAGAAUUCAAGGACCUUCUUCCAAUGAAAACUGUACUGAGAAACAUAGUAUAAAUAUUAUUUGAUCCAAAAAAACCUUAGUGAAAUAUUGCCCUAUGUAUGAAGCCCUCUGCCCCCAAAUGUGAGAAAGUGGAAAGAUGAA